GCCUACGGGGGGCAGCAGUGAGGAAUAUUGGUCAAUGGGCUUACGCCUGAACCAGCCAAGUCGCGUGAGGGAAGACUGCCCUAUGGGUUGUAAACCUCUUUUGUCAGGGAGCAAUUGGCGCUACGUGUAGCGUUAUCGAGAGUACCUGAAGAAAAAGCAUCGGCUAACUCCGUGCCAGCAGCCGCGGUAAUACGUAGGUGGCGAGCGUUAUCCGGAAUGAUUGGGCGUAAAGGGUGCGUAGGCGGUCGAUUAAGUCUGGAGUGAAAGGUACCGGCUCAACCGGUAUAGGCUCCGGAAACUGAUGG
rnacentral:rRNA from 1 species